rnacentral:rRNA from 1 species
UACGUAGGGGGGCAAGCGUUUGUCCGGAUUUUAUUGGGGUACGUAAAGAGCGUGUGAGGCGGCCGUACAGGUCAGCUGUGAAAACUCGAGGCUCAACCUCGAGACGUCGGUUGAAACCGUACGGCUAGAGUCCGGAAGAGGAGAGUGGAAUUCCCGGUGUAGCGGUGAAAUGCGCAGAUAUCGGGAAGAACACCCGUGGCGAAGGCGGCUCUCUGGGACGGUACUGACGCUGGAGACGCGAAAGCGUGGGGAGCGAACAGG